AACGAACGCUGGCGGCAGGCUUAACACAUGCAAGUCGAGCGCCCCGCAAGGGGAGCGGCAGACGGGUGAGUAACGCGUGGGAAUCUACCCAUCUCUACGGAAUAACGCAUGGAAACGUGGGCUAAUACCGUAUACGUCCUUCGGGAGAAAGAUUUAUCGGAGAUGGAUGAGCCCGCGUUGGAUUAGCUAGUGGGUGGGGUAAAGGCCUACCAAGGCGAAGAUCCAUAGCUGGUCUGAGAGGAUGAUCAGCCACACUGGGACUGAGACACGGCCCAGACUCCUACGGGAGGCAGCAGUGGGGAAUAUUGGACAAUGGGCGCAAGCCUGAUCCAGCCAUGCCGCGUGAGUGAUGAAGGCCCUAGGGUUGUAAAGCUCUUUCACCGGUGAAGAUAAUGACGGUAACCGGAGAAGAAGCCCCGGCUAACUUCGUGCCAGCCGCCGCCGUAAGAC
rnacentral:rRNA from 1 species